AGUUAUUUUUUUGUCGUUCAUUUGUCUUUUAUGAUUCCCUCUCUCCUGCUUCUCUUCUACGGUUCUACCCAACCUAUUUUUCUUUUUUCUCUCUCCUCCAAAAAAACUCUUAUUUAUCCGAUCUUGGUUCUAGAGGUAGAAAUUAUGUAAUAUCUUCACUUGAUUUUAAAAGAUUGUUUGACGAUCUACAUUUUGGUUACAAUUUCUUUGUUGUUCAUCAAUAGAUAAUCUCUCUAACAUUGGAUUCAAUUGCUAAUAGUAGUGGAGAAUUGGAGAUGUAGCUAUUGUGUUCUUCCAUAGAGGGGCCUCUUCAUUUUUUCCCCAGUAAAUCAUUCACAAGAAGAAAUUAGAGUAAGAUCUGCAAUUUCAGUUGGGAUGUAUAGCAGGUGUAUACAAAUGGUGAAAUUGGGAUGUAUUUAAUUAAUCUAAUUAGAUUGAUUUAAUUUUGUCAAAUUUUGAAUUAAAUGUAGAUUAUUGAUUUGCUGCUUGUCUAUGCAUUUUUUCCAAAUUUAAAUUACUUUUACUCGCCUACUACUUUGUACUCUAUUUUGAGUGCUUGGUUUUCCUUCCUCGAUUUUGAUUAUGUGUUCAAUUGUUCAUGUAUCAAUGGCGUGAUAUGAAAUCUUUCUCUAAGUAAAUUUCGGGUACCCGGUUUUCGUGGGUCGGGUCAUGGGCCGAUUUUUUAACUACCCGCUUUUGCAAUGCGGGUACCCGGUAAUGAACACCCCUAGCAGUGGCAACUGAGGUGGAUGUAUCAGUGGAGAUGCCAACAACACAAGUAGUUGAAUCAUUGGUGAAUCCUUCACCAUAAGUGAAAGUUAAUGAGAAUGUAUCAGUGGUGAUUCCCGCACAACAAGAGGUUGAAUUAGAGGUAAUUCCUCAACCAUAAGUGGCAGUUGAGGUGGAUAAGAGUGUUACACCAUCACAGGCGGUACCGACCGUGGUGGCUGAGGCGCCUGAACAAUCUUUUGAUGCUGCAAAGUCAAUAGAAAUUGAUGAACAAUCUUCAUCUAAAGAUUCUUCUUCACCGAGAACUUCAGCAUAUGAAGUCCCAAUAUCAGCAAUGAUUUCAAGCACAAAGACAGACUUGAAAUUGGACGAUAUUUUUGAAGAGAAGAAUGACAACAAAGAUGAAGGAAAAGGAAAGGUUGAGGAGAGAGAAAAAUGAGAAAAAAAGGGGCAGCUUGAAGGAGAGAGAAUACACUCACACCCUCAUCAACGAAAGUUCAUCCCCACCGUCGUCAACCAACCCCAACCACCACCCUCAUCAACGAACCUCACCCACCACCGGUCACGCAACACGAGUCAGCCAAAUCACCCACCAGACCACCACCAGUCAAGCGAUACAAAAUAGGGCUUUAAAUAGUUGAAUUCGGCUACAAAAACCUUGGAUCUGUAGUUGGAGUGUUGAUGGUCGAAUUCCACCAGAAAAUCCGGUGAUGGGCGGCGGUAGGAAGUGAUUUGGAAACAGAAAAAUCCUCAAUGUUGAGUCGAAUUCAGGUUUAUGCUGGCGGGUCUGAUCAGUUUUGGGGCCGCUGUGAUUUUUGGUUUUUGAGUUCCAGUUGCGGGUUUGUUAGAAGGUAGCAAAGCUGAUUUCAUAACUUUAUUUGACUCAUUGACUUGGUCUUAAUAAGCCGCAUCAGACUAACAGUCUCAUCCGAGUUGUGAUGACUUUCAUUCUGUGAUGGUGGUUCUCCUACUCACAGUCUUCGAAAAUGUGUACGAGCGUACAUGACAAGUCGACAAUACGAUUACAUUUUAGAAAUAAGUUUUGGAUAUUAGAUAGAGUCUUGUUGUAUCAAUCAAUAUGUGAUUAAGUUGAGGAAUCUAGAUGCGAGAGGAUAUGGAACAAGUGUGGAUGAUAAUUUAUCCGAGCUCAAUUUAUAUAUUUCAUACUUCCUUACAAGAAUUGUGAGCAAGUUUGAUGUAAUCGAAUUAUAGUGGAGAUUGUUGAUUUGUUAUGUGACACUUAUUUUUUUCAUAUGAAGAAUAUAAUUUCUUAA